UACGAAGGGGGGCUAGCGUUGCUCGGAAUCACUGGGCGUAAAGCGCACGUAGGCGGAUUGUUAAGUCGGGGGUGAAAUCCUGGAGCUCAACUCCAGAACUGCCUUCGAUACUGGCGAUCUUGAGUCCGGGAGAGGUGAGUGGAACUCCGAGUGUAGAGGUGAAAUUCGUAGAUAUUCGGAAGAACACCAGUGGCGAAGGCGGCUCACUGGACCGGUACUGACGCUGAGGCGCGAAAGCGUGGGGAGCAAACGGG
rnacentral:rRNA from 1 species